UUUUUAGUAUAACUAUGUGCCAUGCAAUAUUUAGUACAUACUUACACUAAAA
rnacentral:pre_miRNA from 1 species